rnacentral:rRNA from 1 species
AUGGCUGCCGCGAAGGGCGACGGGCCGGCGAUCGGCAUCGACCUCGGGACGACCUACUCCUGCGUGGCCGUGUGGCGGCCGUCGCACAACCGCGUCGAGGUCAUCCCCAACGACCAGGGCAACCUCACCACGCCGUCCUGCGUCGCCUUCACCGACACCAUGAGGCUCAUCGGCGACGCGGCCAUGAACCAGGCCGCCACGAACCCCGUCAACACCGUAUUCGAUGCCAAGCGACUAAUCGGGCGAAGAUUCACUGAUGCAUGUGUGCAAGGAGAUAUCAAGCUUUUCCCAUUCAAGGUCAUUUCAGGCCCUGGUGACCGGCCACUGAUUGUGGUAAAGUACAGGGGUGAGGUGAAGCAGUUUGCAGCCGAGGAGAUCUCCUCCAUGAUGCUUGUCAAGAUGUGGGAGAUUGCCGAGGCCUACCUCGGCACAUCGGUGAAAAAUGUUGUCAUCACCGUUCCAGUCUACUUCACUGACUCCCAACGCCAGGCCACCAUGGAUGCUGGCGCCAUUGCUGGCCUUAAUGUCAUGCGCAUCAUCAAUGAGCCCUCUGCUGCAGCCAUUGCCUAUGGUCUUGACAAGGGAUCCCGCAAAGGGGAAGGGAAAACAGUGCUCAUCUUUGAUCUUGGUGGUGGUACCUUGGAUGUGUCAAUUAUAACUAUUCACAUGGGCAUCUUCACGGUCAAGGCCACAUCUGGUGACACCCACCUUGGCGGGCAGGAUCUCAACAGCCGGAUGGUGGAACACUUUGUGCAGGAUUUCCUUAAGAGACACAAGAGUGACAUCAGAAACAACCCAAAGGCGCUCAUGCGGCUGAGGGCAGCCUGUGAGAGGGCCAAGAGAAUGCUGUCUUCCAUGGUGCAGGCAAAAUUUGAGAUCGACUCGCUUCACGACAGCAUUGACUUCUAUGGCACCAUUACCCACGCCCGUUUUGAGGAGCUCAACAUGGACCUCUUCCGUAAAUGCACUGAACAUGUCGAGAAGUGCCUCGGUGAUGCCAAGAUGGACAAAUCCCAAAUCCACGACGUCGUGCUUGUGGGUGGCUCCAGCCGGAUCCCCAAGGUGCAGCAGCUGCUCCAGGAUUUCUUUGACGGGAAGAUCCUCUGCAAGAGCAUCAACCCUGAUGAGGCUGUCGCCUACGGUGCCGCUGUCCAGGCCGCUGCCCUCAGUGGCGAAUGUGACCUGAAGGUGAAGGACUUGCUCCUUCUUGAUGUCACGCCCCUCUCACUCGGUAUAGAGGUAAUAGGUGGUUUGAUGAGCGUGCUGAUCCCCAGGACUACUACCAUCCCCUUCAAGAAGGAACGGAUUUACACGACCCAUUAUGACAACCAGACGAGCGUGCUCAUUCAGGUGUAUGAGGGUGAAGGGGCGAUGACCAAGGACAACAACCUCCUCGGCAAGUUCAUCCUCCACGGCAUCCCCCCAGCGCCAAGGCUUGUGCCCAAGAUCAAUGUGACAUUUGCGAUUGAAGCCAACUGCAUCCUGAAGGUGUCGGCGGAGGACAUGACGACUGGAAGCAAGAACAGCAUCACCAUCACUACUGACAAGGGUGGGCUGAGCAAGGAAGAGAUUGAGCGCAUGGUGCGAGAUGCUGAGAAGUACCAGUCGGAGGACAGGAAGGAAAUGAAGAAAAUUAUAAAGAAGGAAGACGGGGAGGGUUGGGUGAGCAAGGAGGAGUUCGAGCGCAUGGUGCAGAAGAAGCGCAUGAUGCAGUCCGAAGACAAGACACAAGUUAAGAAGAUAAAGAAGGAAGGUGGAGGCCGGUAA